AACGAACGCUGGCGGCAGGCCUAACACAUGCAAGUCGAACGCUCCGCAAGGGGAGUGGCGCACGGGUGAGUAACACGUGGGAACCUACCUUCUGGUACGGAACAACCAAGGGAAACUUUGGCUAAGGCCGUAUACGACCUCCGGGUGAAAGAUUGAUCGCCGGAAGAGGGGCCCGCGUCCGAUUAGGUAGUUGGUGAGGUAACGGCUCACCAAGCCUUCGAUCGGUAGCUGGUCUGAGAGGAUGACCAGCCACACUGGGACUGAGACACGGCCCAGACUCCUACGGGAGGCAGCAGUGGGGAAUAUUGGACAAUGGGCGCAAGCCUGAUCCAGCCAUGCCGCGUGAGUGAUGAAGGCCUU
rnacentral:rRNA from 1 species